UACGUAGGUGGCAAGCGUUGUUCGGAAUUAUUGGGCGUAAAGAGCUCGUAGGCGGUUUGUCGCGUCUGCCGUGAAAGUCCGGGGCUCAACUCCGGAUCUGCGGUGGGUACGGGCAGACUAGAGUGAUGUAGGGGAGACUGGAAUUCCUGGUGUAGCGGUGAAAUGCGCAGAUAUCAGGAGGAACACCGGUGGCGAAGGCGGAUCUCUGGGCCUUACCUGACGCUGAGGCGCGAAAGCUAGGGGAGCAAACAGG
rnacentral:rRNA from 1 species